rnacentral:rRNA from 1 species
GACGAACGCUGGCGGCGUGCUUAACACAUGCAAGUCGAACGGAAAGGCCCCUUUGGGGGUACUCGAGUGGCGCACGGGUGAGUAACACGUGAGUAACCUGCCCUUGACUUCGGGAUAACUUCAGGAAACUGGGGCUAAUACCGGAUAGGAAUCCUUGCUGCAUGGUGGGGGUUGGAAAGCUUCGGCGGUUUUGGAUGGACUCGCGGCUUAUCAGCUUGUUGGUGGGGUAGUGGCUUACCAAGGCUUUGACGGGUAGCCGGCCUGAGAGGGCGACCGGCCACAUUGGGACUGAGAUACGGCCCAGACUCCUACGGGAGGCAGCAGUGGGGAAUAUUGAACAAUGGGCGGAAGCCGGAUGCAGCAACGCCGCGUGCGGGAUGACGGCCUUCGGGUUGUAAACCGCUUUCAGCAGGGGCGAAGCUUGUGGUGACGGUACCUGCAGAAGAAGCACCGGCUAACUACGUG